rnacentral:lncRNA from 1 species
UUGAUCAAGUUUAAGGCCAUAAAAGUCUAAAAUAUCUUAAAUGGUACAAUAAUAAUAUUAAUUAGCUUUUACUUUUUUUAAUUCUUUAUUUUUUGAUCAAAUAAAGCAUCUUUGGUGAGCAUAAGAUACAUCUUUCAAAAACAUUAAAACAGCUUACUUAACCUAAACGUUUGAAACGUAGUGCAAUCAUUUAUUUGCUCUUUCUCAUUGUUACACUUUUAAAUAACUUUUUAUCUCUUCAUCCAAACUUCAAAAACUGUCACGACUGUUGGGCUGCUCUCACUUUUAAGAAAAAUGGAGAAAGAGAAAAUAUGUCUAGUUCUUGUUCUCUUUAUCUUGUGGAGUCGACUUGCAGUAUAUGAACGCUUGAAACACCAAAGCUAGUUUAACUUCUUUGAUGUUCUUUUUCUAAUCACUUCAUUUUCCAUAAUCUGCACAGACAGCAGUCCUGCGAUAUCAGGCUACGGCCGACAGUAUUGCAGCUGAGUAACUCAUUAGAUUUUUCCGAGGUUAUCAAAACCUUCGGGAACAGUGUAAAUCAACAGGAAGAUCAAGUUAAUCAAUGUUCCUUCAAAGUUUAGCUCUGUCCCAGACUUUCUAAGGCAAUAACUUUUCUGGGUUAUUUACGCUGAGUCUGUUUCUUCUGUUCCUGUGUUUCUGGAGAUCCAUGUUCCACAUUAUAGUCCAUACCCCACAUAUCCAGGGCUGAGAGAUGAACCUUCCCAUCAUUCACAGAGUCACAUGGAGCGAGAGCAAGGAAGAUCUGAGCUUCCUCCUCAAUUCGCAAGAAUCUCAGAAAGUCAAGUUAGUGGUAUCCAGCAAGCAGAUGCUGUACCUGCUGACAGUCUUUCCUCGAGGAACGCAGAUGAGACCAGAUGAGAUAACUUCAGUUUUACAUGUCGACUGACCUCACAUCUUUUGUACAUAGACAUUCAUCGUUUCCUUUUCAAAAACAGGAGUUAUUCUUUUUCAAUUUCCAAUAGCAUCUUCAAUGCAUGUUCAUUACUGUGACAAUGUUGUAUUCAUGACUUUCAGUAGACACAGCUGAAAUCAUUGCUGUCUUUGUCCAGUUAAAGGCAACUAGUUUAAAUUGUCUUUUACACUAAAAAUAGUAAGACAGAUAAAGACAGUAAUGUUUAUUCCACUAGCAAAUACAAACAUCACUGUGAAAAGAGAUUUGAUUUGCUGACUGAUUUAGUACAAGACUGUGUGCUUUCUGAACCCAAACAAGUAGGGGGAAACUAGCUUUACAGUCUGUCUCUACAUUUAAAAAUAGAUAUAGAUACAAAUCUAUGGAUUUUUUAUUUCAAUGAAAUAACUUUUAAACGGAAGAGAACUAUGGUGAGAUCAGCACCCUGAAUGGUUUUAUUGAUGGUGUUAACAUUGGACUGCUUAAUACAAACACAAAAAUAAAAUAUUUUGAAAAACACAAAGGUGUUUGUCAAAAAAAGAACAAAGCCACAACAUCAAUCAAGUAAUAGGAAAUAGAGAUUUAAAAAAGUCUUUUUAAUGGCACAAUUAAUUUGAGUGAGAGGUACAAAUGGGAAGAUACAGCUCAUUUACGUGCCUUCAUUUUCCUCCGUGUCUCUUUCCCUGGCCGUUUUCUAUAAAAAAAAAUUACCAAAAAAAGAGAAAGAGAUGGAUUAAACCGUGCAAGGGAGGUCUUUAGAAUAUUAGAAUAUAACAGUACUGAUUUAAAGGGAUAGUUCACCCAAAAAUGAAAAAUGUGAUGUUUAUCUGCUUACCCCCAGGACAUCCAAGAUGUAGGUGCCUUGUUUCUUCAGUAGAAAAAAAAAUUGCGCUUAAAAGGACUUUUAUUUUGCAGUCGGGCGACUCUAGUCGUGAGUUCCAGUGAAGCGGCGCGCUGAUACGGCGGCGGGCGGAAGUGACGUCACGUGUUGUGGAUUGAGAGGGAGCCCAAAAAUGAAAAUGUGAUGUUUAUCUGCUUACCCCCAGGACAUCCAAGAUGUAGGUGCCUUGUUUCUUCAGUAGAACACAAACCAAGAUUUUCAAACCGUUGCAGUCUGUCACUCUUAUAAUGUAAGUGGAUGGGAAUCAUGGCUAAAACAUACAAUAAACAAAAAAAAAACAUACACAAGCAAAACCAAAUUAAAGCCUGCGGCUCGUGACGAUACAUUGAUGAGUAAAGACACAAAACGAUCGGUCUGUGCAAGAAACUGAACAGUAUUUAUAUUAUUUUUACAUCUGAUUCACACAAUGUCCGAACUGUAAGAACUCUCCUGAGCCUCCUCUUGUGUGCGUUCUCAGCAGCAGGCGGCCAGGCGAGAGACGUCUUCUUCUUGCUUUAUGACAGAUUGCAGUCUUAUAAGUGCAUUACUGCCACCUAUCUCUCAAGUGGACCAUUGACACUCCUAAUUGAGAUUGUAGAUAGAAUGUCAAUGGUCCACUUGAGAGAUAGAUGGCGGUAAUGCACUUAUAAGUCUGUGAUCCAACAUAAAGCAAGAAGAAGCCUCACACACCUGGGCGCCAGGAACUCCCUCAGGAGAGUUCUAACAGUUCUGAAAUUGCAUGAAUCAGAGGUAAAAAACUAUAUAAAUACUGUUCAGUUUCUUGCACAGACCGAUCGUUUUGUGUCUUUACUCAUCAAUGUAUCGUCACGAGCCGCAGGGUUUAAUUGGAUUUGUUUUGUGUUAUUGUUUUUUUUAGCUU